rnacentral:rRNA from 1 species
CCUACGGGCGGCAGCAGUGGGGAAUAUUGGACAAUGGGCGAAAGCCUGAUCCAGCAAUGCCGCGUGAGUGAUGAAGGCCUUAGGGUUGUAAAGCUCUUUUACCCGGGAUGAUAAUGACAGUACCGGGAGAAUAAGCUCCGGCUAACUCCGUGCCAGCAGCCGCGGUAAUACGGAGGGAGCUAGCGUUGUUCGGAAUUACUGGGCGUAAAGCGCACGUAGGCGGCGCCGCAAGUCAGGGGUGAAAUCCCGGGGCUCAACCCCGGAACUGCCCUUGAAACUGCAGUGCUAGAAUCCUGGAGAGGCGAGUGGAAUUCCGAGUGUAGAGGUGAAAUUCGUAGAUAUUCGGAAGAACACCAGUGGCGAAGGCGACUCGCUGGACAGGUAUUGACGCUGAGGUGCGAAAGCGUGGGGAGCAAACAGGAUUAGAUACCCCGGUAGU